rnacentral:rRNA from 1 species
GGGGGGGGGGGGGGGGGGGCGGGGCGCAGGCGGGGCGAACGAGGGGGGAGGGAGGCUGGCGUCUGUCAGUGUGAGGGGCGAGCGGGUGAGUAACGCGUAAUCAACCUGCGCUUCAGAGGGGGACAACAGUUGGAAACGACUGCUAAUACCGCAUACGAUCUAAUCUCGGCAUCGAGGGAAGAUGAAAGGUGGCCUCUAUUUAUAAGCUAUCACUGCAGGAGGUGAUUGCGUCUGAUUAGCUAGUUGGAGGGGUAACGGCGCACCAAGGCGAUGAUCAGUAGCCGGUCGGAGAGGAUGAGCGGCCACAUUGGGAGUGAGACACGGCCCAGACUCCUACGGGAGGCAGCAGUGGGGAAUCUUCCGCAAUGGACGGAAGUCUGACGGAGAAACGCCGCGUGAGGGCUGACGGCCGUCGCGUUGUAAAGCUCUGUUAAUCGGGACGAAAGGCCUUCUUGCGAACAGUUAGAAGGAUUGACGGUACCGGAAGAGAAAGCCACGGCUAACUACGUG